UGAAAACAUUUUGGUUGGUAAGAAUCUUGGUUAAAACUUUUUGUUAGAAUUAAUUAUAGUUAUUUAAUCAUAACUAUAUAUGAUGUGCGAAAAAUAUGAUUAUACAGAUGUCGUAGGUCAAGUUGUCAAUGUCGGCGAACUUAAGAUUCAUCAAGUCGAAAACAAGGACAAGAAGAAAGUUGAGUUUGAGCUGAGAGACAUACGGUAUUAUCGUGAUCAAUAAGUUCAGUUAUUCUAAUAAUUAUUUACUAAAUUAUCUUUAUUCAUCAACCAUAUAGUGAUGACCGACUAUCAUGUACAUUGUGGGGUGGUUUUGCUGAGAGAAUCCUAGCUGCUUGUGAAAACAAUAGACAACAGGUGGUGAUUUGUCUGUUGCGCUUUGCUAAGAUCAAUUCUUUCAAAGGUCAAUGAUCAGUGUCAAAUGCUUAUGACAUUUCGUUAAUGGAGAUUGAUCCAAACUAUCCAGAAAUUGUGGAGUUUCGUGAAAUGCUGAUGGUCUUGCCUUGACAAUCAAACAAGGUGUACCUAAGGAGUUAGCAGUUAAUAAGAAAGCUCAAGCCUAUAAACACUGCGAAAAGAAAUCGAUUGAAGAAAUCAGGGCAUAUAAUGAGGUACAUAUAACGAAUAUAUAGAACAGAGCACAAAUGAGAUCUAAUAAGAUAUACUUCAUACUUUGCCACAAAGACCACAAACUGAGCUUAGCCCAAAAAAACCUUUUCCAGUAAAAACAUGACAAAGAUUGGAAAGCCAAAGAAUGUUACAGAUCCAGUACUUAAGGCUUGGUUCGACCUAAACCGUAAUUCUAAAGUUGCAAGACAACUGACUUUUGAGGAGAUUCCUGAGUUUUUUACUUGGAUCUCUAAAGGAAAAUGCUUCGAACGAAGAAAGAGAUCAUUGAACACUCGAAGAACUACUUCUAUUUCAAGUAAGUUUACUGGUAAUUUAUCCCUAAAACUUCUCUUCCGUU